CCGCAUCUGUGCAUGCAGCAUAUCAAUAAGCGGAGGAAAAGAAACUAACAAGGAUUCCCCUAGUAACGGCGAGUGAAGCGGGAAGAGCUCAAAUUUGAAAUCUUAAAGGGUUUCCCUUUACGAAUUGUAGUUUAAAGAAGUGUUUUCUGUUGAGGUUUUGGUAAAAGUUCUUUGGAAUAGGACAUCAUAGAGGGUGAGAAUCCCGUAUUUGACCUUUACCUUCGACUUUGUGAUACACUUUCAAAGAGUCGGAUUGUUUGGGAAUGCAGUCCAAAAUGGGUGGUAAAUUUCAUCUAAAGCUAAAUAUUGGCGAGAGACCGAUAGCGAACAAGUACCGUGAGGGAAAGAUGAAAAGAACUUUGAAAAGAGAGUUAAACAGUACGUGAAAUUGUCAAAAGGGAAGCGUUUGACACCAGUGUUGUUUUUCUGAAAAUCAAUUAAAGAACUGUUUAUGCUAAGUUGUUUAGACUUUAUCAGCUAACUGUUUAGUUUUGAGCUUUUCUUUAAUGCACUUUUCAGUUAACAAGUCAACAUCAAUUUCUUUUGCUGUAAAAAAGCUUGAGGAAGGUGGCUUGAGAUUCGUCUUAAGUGUUUAUAGCCUCUUGCCUAUGCAGUCGGAGAGAUUGAGGUCUGCAGCGUAGAUCCUUCGGGGCUAAAUGCAUUUGUGCUAAGUUAUAGCAUUUUAUAGACAACUUGUUGACUAUGAUUUGUCUUGUAGCUUACUCGCUUAUGUUAUUUUACCUACGCUUAGGAUGUUGAACGCGCACAGAGUCUC
rnacentral:rRNA from 1 species